AGCUGGUCCGAAGGUAAAGAGUUAUCUCAGUUGAUUGUUUGCAGUCAGUUACAGAUCAAGUUCCUUGUUCUGUUCUUCUCCCUCUUCUCACUACUGCACUUGACUGGUCUUAU
rnacentral:Y_RNA from 1 species